ensembl:lncRNA
GCGGCAUCUGGCAGGCCUGGCCUGGGUGGGCGUCAGCGCGCAGGCGCAGCGGGCUGGGCCUGGAUCGUGGGGUUCAGCCGCCUGGCCACUGCGCUGUCCAUCAUUCUGCAGACGGCCAUCAAGUGCCUGCUGUUGGCCAGAGCCUGGUCAUGGGGGUGGGUGGAGACCCUGCCCCCAGUCCUGGGGGAGGGCGGGCGUGAGAACACGCAGGUCGCGCUGGGCCAAGGGCUCGCCACUUGAGCUGAUGUCGUUAAGGAGGCCGGGGAGGGUGGACUGGGCUUGACCGUCAUGGCCACCAGCUCUGUGAGACAGUGGCCAGCGCCUGCCCCUCAGUGGGUCUCAUGUUCCCAUUGGAAACGUGGUGGGGUCCCCAAGACCCUUCUGCAUGGGCCUGUUGAGAAGUCGAGAAGGCAGAACCAUCUCGGGGAGGGGUCAGCUCUGACCACACAGCAGCCGGAGACCCCCGUGGGCGUCCAGACUGAGGCUCACACAGCAGCGGCGCUGUCCACUCGGGGGGGAGCGUGGACACUGAGGGCCCGGCUGGGUGGACUUGGGGUGCUGACCCCCGGCCACUGGCACGGCCACGGCGGCUGUCUAUCCGCCAGGGUUUGGCCGAGUCUCCGGCGCUGGCUCAGUCCUUUCUCGCCCCGAGCCCCUUUCUCUCCCUGAGCCCCGCUCUCGCUUGAGCCCCUUCCUCUCUCGCCUCGAGCCCCUUUCUUACCCGAACCCCUUCUUGCCCCUGUGGUGCUGUCUCCCCAGGGUCCUUGAGUCCCUGGAGCGAUCUUGGUGUCGGGCAAAACCCACUCUGCUGAGUUGUGGAUGUAAAACGCUGAAAGGUCGCUCACCACCUCUGAUGUCCCAUUUUAAAACAAGUUCAUUGAAGUAUAUUUGAUUUACAGCGUCUUGGUUUCUGCUGUACAGGAAAAUGGUUUAGUUACGCGUGUGUGUGCUUUCCCGUCGGGGUUCAUCACGGGAUAUUGAGCGCAGGUCCCUGUGCUGGGCGUAGGACCGUGGUGCCCGUCCAUCCUGGCUGCGCUAGUUUGCACCUGCUAGCCCCGAACUCCAGCCCUUCCCCCACCCCACCUCGUUCUUGGCUGCACGAGUCUGUCCUCCGAUCUGAGUCUGUCUCCGUGUCAUGGACAGAUUCAUUUCUGUCAGAUUUUAGACGCCACAUACGUGGGCUCAUACGGCGGUUGUCCUCUUUCUGACUUACUUCACUUAGGACCCCCCGUUUUCUAAACCUGUGAAGUGGCGAUAAUAUCCUUAUCCUCCCGCAUAAGGAGAACCUCAGUGGGGACGUGUCAGCUGCCCCACGUCCAGCAGGCACUCAGGAAACAGAGGUGGACACCUGCUCCCUGUCCCCCGGGCCACCCCAAGCGUGAAACAGGAGCUCCUCUGGUCCAUCACGUUCCAUGGAUGCCAGCUCUUCCCUUCCCCGCGUGAGCCUGUCCCAGCGCAUGGUAGCCUGUUGAGGUUCGGGCUUGCCUGAGCUGGUCUGGGCCUGCCGCUGAGCCCUCACACUCGCCCCAGGCUGCGUGUUCCACUGAGCCUGGCGGGAGGCAGACCUGAGUGAGUGUCUGUGGGGUGAAUGGAUGGGUGUUUCCCAGCCCCGCCCCACCUGAGAAGGCAGGUGGCAAAGCAGAUGGCGGGGCCCCUGCGGGCCUGGCAGAGGAGCCUGCGCCCUGCCCUCGUCUUCUCCUGGAGGCUGGGGGGUUGGGCGGUUGUUCCCAGAUGCCUUCCAGAGAGAACAUUUUGUCAUUUAGUGACUUGAACUUUCUCGGUCUAUUCUUGCCUCCUUCCUCCUCCGUUUCCUGGUCCAAAGGCCUCGUCCCUAGAAGUUGCUUUUAUUGAAGCAGUGACUAAGAGUCCAAGAGGGACCUUCUGAGUGUUCUAAUGACCCCAGGUGACCCGUGGGGCAGGGCCCGCUCUGGGCCGGCCCCGUGUUCAGCCGGUUCAGAAGGACAGAGCCCCCAUGGGCCUCUCUGGGCUGCAGGGGGCGGUCUGGGGGCCGGCAGAGCUGGAGCCUGGUGCCCCCCUGUAAGACCCCCGCCUCCAGGCCUUGGUUUUCUUGAGAAAUGGGGGUGAUGCUCUC